UUGAGAUUGGAACGUUGUAGAACGACACAAACAAACUGUCUGUGUAGGCGCAGUUUCAACAAAUUUGUCAACAUACAGUUCCUCUGCUGCAAAGCCUGGCAGGUAGCAGGAGCGAGGACCGCCGGGCUUUUGGAUAAAGUUGCGGCAGACUUGCUGAGAGUAUUGAGGACCUUCAAGUAACCUGCCAUGGUACCACUGCAUCCAGAAGCACUUUAAGGAUCUCUUUAUCAUCUGCGUUAACAGCAUGA